GACGUAGGAUGCAAACGUUAUCCGGAAUUAUUGGGCGUAAAGAGUUCGUAGGUGGUUUGUUAAGUAGAGCGUUAAAGACUUGAGCUCAACUCAAGGAAGGUGCUCUAUACUGGCAAGCUAGAGUAAGGCAGAGGCAGGUGGAAUUCUGUGUGUAGGGGUAAUAUCCGUAGAUAUACAGAGGAACACCAAAAGCGAAGGCAGCCUGCUGGGCCUUUACUGACACUCAAGAACGAAAGCGUGGGUAGCAAACAGG
rnacentral:rRNA from 1 species